rnacentral:rRNA from 1 species
GACGAACGCUGGCGGCGUGCCUAAUACAUGCAAGUAGAACGCACAGUUUAUACCGUAGCUUGCUACACCAUAGACUGUGAGUUGCGAACGGGUGAGUAACGCGUAGGUAACCUGCCUGGUAGCGGGGGAUAACUAUUGGAAACGAUAGCUAAUACCGCAUAAUAUUAAUUAUUGCAUGAUAAUUAAUUGAAAGGUGCAAUUGCACCACUACCAGAUGGACCUGCGUUGUAUUAGCUAGUAGGUGGGGUAACGGCUCACCUAGGCGACGAUACAUAACCGACCUGAGAGGGUGAUCGGCCACACUGGGACGGAGACACGGCCCAGACUCCUACGGGAGGCAGCAGUAGGGAAUCUUCGGCAAUGGACGAAAGUCUGACCGAGCAACGCCGCGUGAGUGAAGAAGGUUUUCGGAUCGUAAAGCUCUGUUGUAAGAGAAGAACGGGUGUGAGAGUGGAAAGUUCACACUGUGACGGUAUCUUACCAGAAAGGGACGGCUAACUACGUG